UUACGGAUGGUUGUGAGCCACCAUGUGGUUGCUGGGAUUUGAACUCUGGACCUUCGGAAGAGCAGUCGGGUGCUCUUACCCACUGAGCCAUCUCACCAGCCCAAUUUAUUUAUUCUUAUUUCAUGUGCAUUCAUGUUUUAACUGCAUAUAUGUCUGUUGUGAAGGUGUCAGAUCCCCUGGAACUGGAAUUAUAGGCAGUUGUAAGCCACGAUGUGGUUGCUGGGAUUUGAACUCAGGACCUCUGGAAGAGCAGUCAGUGCUCUUAACCACUGAGCCACCUCUCCAGCCCGGGGUGUUAAAUCUUGAAAAGGAAGAGGGUUAGUUAGUUGGUUGGUUUCAUUGUUUUUUUUUUUUUUUUUUUAAGGAUUUGUUUUUAUCGGUUUUACAUUUGUGUCUGUGCGUGCACAUGCAUGCACCUCUGGGGGCCAAGGGUACAGGUGGUCAUGAGCCCGCGGACAGGGGUACAGAGAAUCGAAGUUCAGGUCCUCUAGAAGAGCAGCCUGGGCACACUGAGCUGCCUCUGCAGACCCCAAAUGCCCAUUUUAAGCCGUUUUGAUCUCGGCUCUGUGCUGUGUGCCUCAGUAGCCCACAUGUCUGCACGUCCUGUGCAUUAUAAGAACCGCAGUGCCUGGGUCUCUGAAAAGAUCAAAAGCUGCAGGCAGCUUCAACUGUACCAGUGAGAGUCCUGACUGGAGCACAGAGUGUGCUGCCAGGAAGGGACCUCCUUACAGGACCCCGUGUGCUAGCUUUCCAAAAGGCCUAAGAGUCUCUUGCUGCUGUGGAAGAGUAUCCUUUAUGUCUGUUUCAGUACACGGGAAUGGGGUCCCCCAUAGAUAUGCUGCCCUUUGGCACCGUGGGUGCUGUGUAUCAAAGGUUCCUCCCUUUCUUCUACUGAAGCAUCUCUGUCUCUGUAUGUGUCUGUCUGUCUCUCUCUCUCUCUCUCUCUCUCUCUCUCUCUCUCUCUCUCUCUCUCAUUAGUUGUUCUGAGGCACGAUCCAGAGUCUUUCAUUGUGUAGCCCUGGCUAUCCUGGAACUCACUCUGUAGACCAGGCUGGCCUCUUAUCAAGGCUUAAAACCCUGACUCUCAGCAGCCAUCAGUGUCAGUCACUGUUCAGCUAGGAGCAGGACUCGCAUAGCCCCCCUCCACCACGUCGCGGUUUUGUCUGCCUCGAGCUUCUGCAGGUCUUGUGCUGUCACCGUCUCUGUGAGUUCGUACAAGCAUUGCCAAUUUAUGUCUAGGAGACGGCUUCCCUGAAGUCAUCCACCACCGCCUCUGGCUCUCACAAUCUUUUUGCCCCCACCCCUAGUGCAUAGAUCCUUGCGGUUUUUAUGUUUAUAGAGACUCCAUAGGACUGGACACUCCAAAGCACCUUACUCUCUGCUGUUGACCAGUUAUGGGUCUGUUAAUUGUUGUCUACGAGAGAAGCUCCGGUGAGGGUUGAGCGAGGCGCUGAUCUACGGGCCUGGCAUAAGUCAUUCUAUUGCUGUGUCCACUUAACAGAACAGUAGUAGAGGCUGUCCUCACCUGUAGUGUCAAGUGUGGAUUCCUCUUGUGAAGUAGACCUUAAAUCCAACCAGGAAGUAGACGAUUGUCCCAUAACGCUGGUGCCACUGUUACGCCAGUGGACAUAGAUUGUGAGGAGAGUUAUCAUAGAUUGCAAAGUUAGCCACGAAGCAGUUCCUUUUAACACAUCUCCUCCCCUUCCUGUUUAUAUCAAGUGUUAGAAGUAUAUAUUUGCUACUAAUAAUAAACAGAAGUGGCCUUAUAUUGCUGUUUUUAUUUUUGGAAAGUCAAGAUUAAAUAUUAUCUACUUCUCACAAAAAUAAUUAGCCUUCUAAGUACUGAGGGGAGAAAAUCACUAUGAGUUUGAGGUCAUUAGGCUAUAUAUGUUCUAGGCUAGCCCAGGGUACAGAAGAAGGCCCUAACUUCCCCCCAAAACC
rnacentral:lncRNA from 1 species